rnacentral:rRNA from 1 species
GACGAACGCUGGCGGCGCGCUUAAUACAUGCAAGUCGAGCGAGAACCAGUCCUUCGGGACUGGGGAAAGCGGCGAACGGGUGAGUAACACGUGGGUAAUCUGCCCUCGGCACUGGGAUAGCCCGGGGAAACCCGGAUUAAUACCGGAUAGCCUUUCGAGUCUUCGGGCUCGUCAGAAAAGGUGGCUUCGGCUUCCGGCUGAGGAUGAGCCCGCGGCGGAUUAGCUUGUUGGUGGGGUAAUGGCUCACCAAGGCUCCGCUCCGUAGCUGGUCUGAGGGGACGAUCAGCCACACUGGGACUGGGACACGGCCCAGACUCCUACGGGAGGCAGCAGUAGGGAAGCUUGCGCAAUGGGCGAAAGCCUGACGCAGCGACGCAGCGUGCGGGAAGAAGGCCUUCGGGUUGUAAACCGCUUUCAGGAGGGACGAAGCCACUCGGGUUAAUAGCCCAGAGGGUGACGGUACCUCCAGAAGAAGCCCCGGCUAACUACGUGCCAGCCGCCGCCGUAAGAC